UAAAACCGGGGAGGAACAGAGAAGAGCCUUAGCUGACUCAAACGCCUGUUGACACUCUGCAGACCACGUAAACUGUACCUUCGGGCUCAGUAAUGAGGGGUGCAUUCUGAUGGGCGACGCAUUUCCUACGUCAAUGUCAUGCUCCAACACUGUUGUGCGGCCGGGAACGUCCUGAAAGAGACUGGGAAACGAAUGAAUAAGGUGAAUGAGUUCUUCUUGUUUCUUGUUGUCUAAAUGCACCAUUAUAGACGGCAACACUUUCUUCAUUUCUGAAUUGUUUAACCUUUCACUGAUCCUUAUACCAGACUGUUCUUUUAAACCGUCCUCCAUGUCAUCCUCAGGACAGACCUCUGCAACCAGCAUCCCAGCUACCGGACCUGGAGCACCACAUGGGCUGGACUUUGUUGGGCUAACAGUGUAUGGACCACAAUAAUGAGCUGAUAAAGACGAACCUGGCACCGGUAACAACACUAGUACCUGAUCUCCAGGGACAAACACACGUUUCACAGCCUUUUUGUCAUACCUUAUUUUCAUCCGUUUCUGGGUGCUGGAAAGAGACUCCUUAGCUAGUUCACAUGCUUUAUGCAACCUUUCACGGGUCUUG